CGGUCCUUUUGAAAAUUGCCUUCUUUUAAUUUUUUUUGAAAUUUACGCACACAAAAAAAACCCGCUGCUAUAGAACAAUUACCAGCGGACGGUGAACGAAUAACUGUGUAUUAUGUGGCAAUAUAUUAAUUCGGAAAUCUCUUAGUUAAAAUAAGGAACAUGUUGGUAUGUGAAGCUAUGAGGAUCUUCAUUACAUUCGUUCUUCAUAUCUUGAUCGAAGGAUGUCAGGCUGUUUCGGUCUUGAGGAGAAUUCAUACUUCACAUCUUCCUUAUCAUUGAUCUUGCAGGACCCGUGAUGCUCUUUUGGCUUAAUACAUAUGGGGCGUUGGAUACACCUACCAUCGAGAAAAAAAGCUGGUCGUCUGUCACUCAAAAUGUAAGGAUCGAGUUGGUGUGUAAAAUAUUAUUAAGGUUCAAAAAAUUUGUUGAUUUAUACAAAUUUCAGAAAAAUGUACUGAGAAGGAGGCGGAAAAAGCCUCGAAAUGCAUCUUCGUAAAAAAUAAAAAUUUG